UACGUAGGGUGCGAGCGUUGUCCGGAAUUAUUGGGCGUAAAGAGCUUGUAGGCGGUUUGUCGCGUCUGCCGUGAAAUUUCGGGGCUCAACCCCGAACUUGCGGUGGGUACGGGCAGACUAGAGUGUGGUAGGGGGAGACUGGAAUUCCUGGUGUAGCGGUGAAAUGCGCAGAUAUCAGGAGGAACACCGAUGGCGAAGGCAGGUCUCUGGGCCACUACUGACGCUGAGAAGCGAAAGCAUGGGGAGCGAACAGG
rnacentral:rRNA from 1 species